rnacentral:rRNA from 1 species
CCUACGGGAGGCUGCAGUGAGGAAUAUUGGUCAAUGGGCGCGAGCCUGAACCAGCCAAGUCGCGUGAGGGAAGACGGUCCUAUGGAUUGUAAACCUCUUUUGUCGGGGCGCAAAAGACGCCACGCGUGGCGUUCCGAGAGUACCCGAAGAAAAAGCAUCGGCUAACUCCGUGCCAGCAGCCGCGGUAAUACGGAGGAUGCGAGCGUUAUCCGGAUUUAUUGGGUUUAAAGGGUGCGCAGGCGGAAGAUCAAGUCAGCGGGAAAAUUGAGAGGCUCAACCUCUUCGAGCCGUUGAAACUGGUUUUAGUGAGGGAGCGAGAAGUAUGCGGAAGGCGUGGUGUAGCGGUGAAAUGCAUAGAUAUCACGCAGAACUCCGAUUGCGAAGGCAGCAUACCGGCGCUCAACUGACGCUCAUGCACGAAAGUGUGGGUAUCGAACAGGAUUAGAUACCCCUGUAGUC